rnacentral:rRNA from 1 species
CCUACGGGAGGCAGCAGUGAGGAAUAUUGGUCAAUGGGCGGAAGCCUGAACCAGCCAAGUAGCGUGCAGGAUGACGGCCCUACGGGUUGUAAACUUCUUUUAUACGGGAAUAACGAGCCUUACGUGUAGGGUUUUGCAUGUACCGUAUGAAUAAGGACCGGCUAAUUCCGUGCCAGCAGCCGCGGUAAUACGGAAGGUCCGGGCGUUAUCCGGAUUUAUUGGGUUUAAAGGGAGCGUAGGCCGGAUGUUAAGGUUGCUGUGAAAUGUGCGGGCUGAACCCGGGCCUUGCAGGGGGAACUGGCAGGCUUGAGUACGGGGAAGGCAGGCGGAAUUAGUCGUGUAGCGGUGAAAUGCUUAGAUAUGACGAAGAACCCCGAUUGCGAAGGCAGCUUGCUGGAGCGGAACUGACGCUGAUGCUCGAAAGCGCGGGUAUCGAACAGGAUUAGAUACCCUAGUAGUC